rnacentral:lncRNA from 1 species
CCUUAUUGCAAAUGAAAAAAAAAAUCUAUCUCAACGGAAGAGACUAACUCAUGGAGCAUUUCUCGGUUGGCCUAUUGCACAUAGACUCGGAAAUAAAACAAAAAACAACAAUAAAACUAAGGCUUUUUCACAUUUAAUUAGGAGUCAACCACGAACCUAAGCAUCUUAGGAAAUGAAAGUUGUCAUGUACAGAAGCAACAUCUGCAUCUAUAUAUACACAAAAUGACUAAGGCAUGUUUGUUAGGCCUUAACAAGACAAGACAAUAUUGUAUGUUUGUUACUACAUAAGCAAAACCCUAGUUUUUCUGCAAAAAAAUUGGCUUUGUUUUUCUUUCCCAAGGUGAAACCAACAGGGUAGAGAGCCUUUCCUUGGAUAGACUGACAAAUUUGGACAUCCCCUUUUCACGACAUGAUGCUUCACCGAAUUCAUAUAAAUGAACUUUAAGAUUGUAUAAACCAAGUAGGUGGGGUGGGGUGGGGUGGCGUGGGUGGGAGGUGUUUGCAUAUGAGAAAGGUAAUGUAAAAUGUGUGGUCCAUCUACCCUCUGGCUGCAAAUUAUUCAAUACUAAUACAGCAAUAACACUUACUUCAGCCAGCUUCUUUAUUUUGAUCACAUGGAAUGUUUGUUAAAUAGAAAAUACUGUUUCAAUCUAAAAUUAAUAUGAAAAUGGGUUUCUUUUUUUUCUUAGUUGAGAGAUGUGAACAGCCCACAAUCAGAUCAAUUUCUUGCAAAAUAUAAUUUACAUUUUAAGAAGGUAAUCGAAGAAAGACAAUUAAACAAACACAUUUGUACAUACCCGUUUAAAUAAGUUUGACGGGCAUAAAAUGUAUAUCUUAUGUCGAAACAUUAAAUUUACAAGAAUUCAAAAUGUACAAGAAUUAUUAGUCCCCACCAACCAUGGUCGCCAAACGAAUCCUUCCUUUAUAAAUCUUUUGCAUUAUGCGAUGUAAAAAUCAGAAACCAAUAUAAUGCACAAAUCAAGCAAAUUAAUUCUUAUCUUUGUGUGGUGGAGAGGACAGAUAGAUAUAUAUAACUCAAUUUGUUAUACAUUAAUUCCAAGAACUUUACUGUCCGUGUCCAAAUGCCAAGAUCAAUGCAGAAGAAGGGAAAACAUAAAAAAUGGGAUCCAUUAAAUCAAGACUGAAUUUCACAGAAAAAUUUCCAGAAACCAUUCAUGAGGAAAUCAGAGAAACUAAAAUGGAAGGUUGAAGAUUACUGUAAUGUAAUUAAUAGCUGUAUACAAAAAAUUGUUUUUUUUAUAUAUUAUGAAAACAUACAAACUAAAGAAUUCAUUACAUAAUACACAAUAUCUCAAAGGUUUCACAGGAAAAUAACUGAUCAUGAAUUCAAAAACAUGGCAGGAUAGAAACCAGCAAUAUAGAGCAACAAAUGCAAGCUAAAAUUGAGAGGCGGAAGGUUACUGUAGAGUAAUCAGUACUGAUUGUGUCAAGAUCUUUCUUCAGAUCAUAAAUUCAAAGCAUAAUGCAUAAUAUCUAAGGUUUCACAAUAAAAACUAAUGGAUUCAAAACCAUUACCAGCUGCAGAUCAGAACAUAGCAAGUAAAACAGAAUCGUCUUUUUGAGAGAAAAUUUAACAGGCACGUUCGAGAAUAUACCAGUUAGUGACACCAAAUUUUGCUUGACCCUCUCCAUAUCUUCCCACAGCUUUAUUGAACCGCAAAGGCUUCAUCAUCCCCCUCCAGUAGAGGCCAUAGGGUGCUUCAUUAUAUGCAGUUCAAGAAAGCUGUGGAAAAACACGAACAGGGGCAUUAUUGAAGCCACAUAAUCAAUCAUUUGCAGCAACCCUAAGUAGGGUUUCCUCUGUUAGAGAGAGAAGGCGGAAAAAGGGGGAAGUUUACAGAGAAAGAGUGCGUGUACAAAGGAGGAUUGGGAUAGUAUAUAUACAGAAGAAUUGAAGUUUUCCAUCAAUCCCGAGAGAAUAUUGGCCUAUUGUAAAG